rnacentral:rRNA from 1 species
GACGAACGCUGGCGGCGUGCUUAACACAUGCAAGUCGAGCGAAGUGGCGAACGGGUGAGUAACGCGUAUUCAACCUGCCCUUCAGAGGGGGACAACAGUUGGAAACGACUCCUACUACAGCAUACUGAUGGAGGGGAUUGCGUCUGCUUAGAUAGUUGGCGGGGUAACGGCCCACUAAGGCGAUGAUAAGUAGCCGGACCGAGAGGAUGAACGGGCACAAUGGGACUGAGACACGGGGCAGACUCCUACGGGAGGCAGCAGUGGGGAAUCUGCCGCAAUGGACGAAAGUCUGACGGAGCAACGCCGCGUGAGUGAUGACGGCCUGCGGGUUGUAAAGCUCUGUUAAUCGGGACGCGGUACCGGAAUAGAAAGCCACGGCUAACUACGUGCCAGCAGCCGCGGUAAUAC